rnacentral:ncRNA from 1 species
AGCACUUUUAACGGUGCUGACAGAUGUAAGUCCGACGUGCGACACCGCACUGCCUAAAGCAGGCUUUGGGAUUAC